GAUGAACGCUAGCGGGAGGCCUAACACAUGCAAGCCGAGCGGUAUUGUUUCUUCGGAAAUGAGAGAGCGGCGUACGGGUGCGUAACACGUGUGCAACCUGCCUUUAUCUGGGGGAUAGCCUUUCGAAAGGAAGAUUAAUACUCCAUAAUAUAUUGAACGGCAUCGUUUAAUAUUGAAAGCUCCGGCGGAUAGAGAUGGGCACGCGCAAGAUUAGUUAGUUGGUGUGGUAACGGCUCACCAAGGCGAUGAUCUUUAGGGGGCCUGAGAGGGUGAUCCCCCACACUGGUACUGAGACACGGACCAGACUCCUACGGGAGGCAGCAGUGAGGAAUAUUGGACAAUGGGUGCAAGCCUGAUCCAGCCAUCCCGCGUGAAGGACGACUGCCCUAUGGGUUGUAAACUUCUUUUGUAUAGGGAUAAACCUACCCUCGUGAGGAUAGCUGAAGGUACUAUACGAAUAAGCACCGGCUAACUCCGUGCCAGCAGCCGCGGUAA
rnacentral:rRNA from 1 species